rnacentral:tRNA from 1 species
GGAUUGUAGCUCAGAGGUAGAGCACUGGCCUACCAUGUGUGAGGCACUGGGUUCGAUCCUCAGCACCA